rnacentral:rRNA from 1 species
AUUGAACGCUGGCGGCAGGCCUAACACAUGCAAGUCGAACGAGUGGCGGACGGGUGAGUAAUGUCUGGGAAACUGCCCGAUGGAGGGGGAUAACUACUGGAAACGGUAGCUAAUAACGCAUACCAUCGGAUGUGCCCAGAGGGGAUUAGCUAGUAGGUGGGGUAACGGCUCACCUAGGCGACGAGCCCUAGCUGGGCUGGGAGGAUGACCAGCCACACUGGAACUGAGACACGGGCCAGACUCCUACGGGAGGCAGCAGUGGGUAAUAUUGCACAUUGGGCGCAAGCCGGAUGCAGCCCUGCCGCGUGUAUGAAGAAGGCCUUCGGGUUGUAAAGUACUUUCAGCGAUGAGGCGUUACUCGCAGAAGAAGCACCGGCUAACUCCGUGCCAGCAGCCGCGGUAAUAC